UCUACUGCUGUCGCUCUCUCCUGCGCUCGCUCUUACUGCAAAACUAGGUCAAUUGGGAACCCACCUGCAUAUUGAUUGCAGGCUGGCACCAGGUAUAAAGCCAAGCCGGUGCUUCUUUGGAUUAUUCCUCCCAUGCAUUCAGCGCAAAGCAGCAGUAAAUGCUGACACUCUGCGACGGACUGAUCGGCAAGAGUAGAUCAUAUGACAGCCACAGGUAUGCUCUCGCUUAACCUCAGAUUCCCUCUCAGUAUUGGAAUGCAUAGUAAUAGUUUUGCGGCCUGUUGUAGCGCGGCAGGUUGUUUUAUUCCGGCGUUGCGAAGAGAGGUGCUUGUGUGAUUUCCCCCGCCAGUGAGAGUAUAACGCCUCCGGUCCUGGGGGUGUGAUCGCUGCCUUCACCUCCGUGGCAACUCACACAGCCUUAAGUGAAGAAUCAAGACACCUGCCUAGCCGUUGUUGUGAGGGCUCCUCCUCAGUGGAGCCUGCUGUCUUGUCUUGCCUGGUUUUGAAUUGUUUUAUCGUGUCUUAUUUGGUUUUAUUAAGUAGGCCUACCAUUUCCUGGUUCGCCUGGUUUUAUUUUAUUUUAUUUCUGAACUGUGGCGUGUGCCCACGCUUCUGUGAUCGGGCUGAAGCAAUCCUUUGCCCGAGUGUCGUGCCGGGAAUUUUAAAUUGCCUCCGUUGCUGGUCUUAGCCUGUGGGGAGCCAGACCAGCUGGCAAUUGAGUCUGGGACGACUAUUACCAGUACGAGUGGACCCGUGGGGCAUAAGCCUUCCAUUGUGUGGAUGAAGGACGUGCCAGUGGCCCUGGGACCUCAGGUGGUGGGUCGUUUUCACACUUUCUUUUGUACAGCACCGGGUGGGCUGCAGUGAUUUUCGUUUUGUGUGAUUUUCUUUUGGGUCCACGGCUGCUGGUAAGUCCAAGUUCCAUGUUUGUUUUAUUUUCGCUUUAAGACACUGUCAACAAUGACGCUACAUUUUGGUUUCUAAUAUUUUAUUUAUUCUUAUUAUAAAUAAACUGUUUUAAUAUUGGAGCCAACCUGCCUCGGAGUGCAUCCUUGAAUCUGUGCGGCCUCUUUUUAUUCCUUUUAUCUAUUUUUCUUAAAUAUAUUUCCUAGGGGUGAAAAUCCCCUAGGUGGCGUUGUCAUUUUAUUU